rnacentral:misc_RNA from 1 species
GGGGUCCAACCAUAGCUGCGGCGAGAGACGGAUAGCAUUGACGUAAGCAAAGCUGAAGCAGUCGCAGUGUGAUAUGGAAGCAUCGUCUCCACACAGCAGCUCAUCUCCACUGGCGACCUGAAAAUGCGAUGGGAGAGAGGACCUUGCUUCGAGAUACGGAAUGGAGACAAAGCUGGUUGGCUUCUGAGUCCGGGUUUGGGUCCGGAGGCAAGUCUGACAGUUCGGUUGGCGGUGGAGCGAAGGAAAGACCUGGCGGCUGCGGCUGCGGCGGCGGACAUCGCUAGUGGGAUUAUUUAGGACUGGCGUGGAGUAGCAAAUAGAGAUAAUGAGUUGAGGGUUU